ACCCCAAUUUUUCUUGGAGACCCCAACAAACUCAGGCUCAAACCCAAAUUCCUCCCAUGCAAAACUUUCAAAAUGGAUCCCAAUAUCAAAAUUAUACCCAUAAUAGAGGUCAGCCUAAUCAGCCUACCCAGUUACCAUAUUACAAUCAAUCAUCAUACCCACCUCCUCAAUAGAUCAAUCUAGCCAAUGAUAGAUUUAAUCAACUCCAAUAAUUGAUUAUAAUCUAACAGCAAUCUAUCAUUAGGCUAGAAGCAUAAAUAGGAUAAUUAGUUGAGUUUACUAUGAGGAGAGAACCAGAUCAAUUCCCAGCCAACCGAUACUAAAUCUCAAGAACAACCCAUCCACCC
rnacentral:lncRNA from 1 species